CACUCCUGCGGGAGGCAGCAGUGGGGAAUAUUGGACAAUGGGCGCAAGCCUGAUCCAGCCAUGCCGCGUGAGUGAUGAAGGCCCUAGGGUUGUAAAGCUCUUUCACCGGUGAAGAUAAUGACGGUAACCGGAGAAGAAGCCCCGGCUAACUUCGUGCCAGCAGCCGCGGUAAUACGAAGGGGGCUAGCGUUGUUCGGAUUUACUGGGCGUAAAGCGCACGUAGGCGGACUAUUAAGUCAGGGGUGAAAUCCCGGGGCUCAACCCCGGAACUGCCUUUGAUACUGGUAGUCUUGAGUUCGAGAGAGGUGAGUGGAAUUCCGAGUGUAGAGGUGAAAUUCGUAGAUAUUCGGAGGAACACCAGUGGCGAAGGCGGCUCACUGGCUCGAUACUGACGCUGAGGUGCGAAAGCGUGGGGAGCAAACAGGAUUAGAUACCCGUGUAGUCCCAU
rnacentral:rRNA from 1 species